GGGAGGUAAAUAGGUCAUGAGGGUGGAGCCCUCAUGAAUUAGUCCCCUAAAAGAAGAGGCCAGAGAACCAGCUCAUCCUACUUUUUCCACUUAAGUAACACAGUACUCUGUAGACCAGAAAGAGGAUGUUCACCAAGAACUCAAUCCUGCUGGAAACCUGAUCUCAGACUUCCAGACUCCAAAACUGUAGUGCAAAAUUCCACAUCCACAAAACCCACCUGGCCAGUGAUGGCUUGGGUAAGGACGGAGAAUGCAGUGGGAUCAGAACCCUAGAGUGGGCAUGAAGAGGAGAAAAAAAAAAUUCUGAAAUCACCAUGGAAACACUACAGAGAACUCUGGGUUGCUGUUUUAGUUUUUCUGUUUUUUCCCAGGAAGGUAAAAGGUCAGCAACCACUUGUGAGUGCUGGAAAUCCCACAUAACAG